rfam:Punica granatum cultivar Dabenzi scaffold586, whole genome shotgun sequence.
UUGCCUUAAACUAAUGAGUAAGGAAAACAAAGCGGGCGGUGGGAGCCGACCGCAGCGCCCAUGACUAGCUUUUCCUCGGAAAAGAGCAGACCCGUGGCGCACGAAUUUAUGGAGGGGCUAUAGGCUGGCCGAGCGUUGACGCUGCCUUCUUUCGCAGAACUCGCUCGUGCGGGCCUCCC